ACCCCUGUGAGGAUGCCCUUAAAACUCUUUUGAGAUCAAGGAGCAGGUAUCAGGCACACCACAUGUAGCCCACAACACCUUGCUUAGCCACACCCCCAAGGGAAUUCAGCAGUGAUUAACAUUAAGCCAUAAGUGCAAACUUGACUCAGUUAAAGCUAAUCAGGGUCGGUAAAAUUCGUGCCAGCCACCGCGGUUAUACGAAAGACCCAAGCUGACAGAGAUCGGCGUAAAGAGUGGUUAGGAAAACAACACACUAAAGCUGAACAUCUUCUUAGCUGUUCAACGCAUUUGAAGAUAAGAAUCACUAUCACGAAAGUAGCUUUAAAUCCCUGACUCCACGAAAGCUAUGAAACAAACUGGGAUUAGAUACCCCACUAUGCCUAGCCGUAAAAAUUGAUAUUUUAGUACACUCAUUAUCCGCCUGGGUACUAUAAGCAUUAAGCUCAAAACCCAAAGGACCUGGCGGUGCUUUAAAACCCCCUAGAGGAGCCUGUUCUAUAACUGAUAAUCCCCACUUAACCUCACCCCUCCUUGCCAAUUCCGCCUAUAUACCGCCGUCGUCAGCUUACACUGUGAAAGACCAAUAGUGAGCAAAAUUGGUAAAACCCUAAACGUCAGGUCGAGGUGUAGUAUAUGGAGGGGGAAGAAAUAGGCUACAUUCGUUAACUAACGUAUCACGAACUACAUGCUGAAAAUGCAUAUACGAAGGAGGAUUUAGCAGUAAGAAGAAGGUAGAGUACUCUCCUGAAAUUGGCUCUAAAGCACGCACACACCGCCCGUCACUCUCCCCUAGCAUAAAACCACACUAAAUAAACAACCAAAAAGCUGUAGAGGAGGCAAGUCGUAACAUGGUAAGUGUACCGGAAGGUGCACUUGGAAAAAU
rnacentral:ncRNA from 1 species